UACGUAGGGGGCAAGCGUUGUCCGGAUUUAUUGGGCGUAAAGAGCGUGUAGGCGGCCAUGCAGGUCCGUUGUGAAAACUCGAGGCUCAACCUCGAGACGCCGGUGGAAACCGUAUGGCUAGAGUCCGGAAGAGGAGAGUGGAAUUCCUGGUGUAGCGGUGAAAUGCGCAGAUAUCGGGAAGAACACCCGUGGCGAAGGCGGCUUCCUGGACCGACACUGACGCUGAGGCGCGAAAGCUAGGGGAGCAAACGGG
rnacentral:rRNA from 1 species